CCGAGAAUAGCUCAGUUGGUAGUAGCGGCUGACUGUAGAGUUUAAUCAGUAAUCAGCAGGUCCCUGGUUCAAAUCCGGGUUCUCGGA
rnacentral:tRNA from 1 species